UAAGGAAUAUUGGACAAUGGAGGCAACUCUGAUCCAGCCGUGCCGCGUGAAGGAAUAAGGCCCUAUGGGUUGUAAACUUCUUUUAGACGGGACAAAACCCCUUUACGUGUAAAGGGUUGAUGGUACUGUCAGAAUAAGCAUCGGCUAACUUCGUGCCAGCAGCCGCGGUAAUACGAAGGAUGCAAGCGUUAUCCGGAAUUAUUGGGUUUAAAGGGUGCGUAGGUGGGCUUAUAAGUCAGUGGUGAAAUCUCCGAGCUUAACUUGGAAACUGCCGUUGAUACUAUAGGUCUUGAAUUAUCUGGAGGUAAGCGGAAUAUGUCAUGUAGCGGUGAAAUGCUUAGAUAUGACAUAGAACACCAAUUGCGAAGGCAGCUUACUACAUAUAAAUUGACGCUGAGGCACGAAAGCGUGGGGAUCAAAC
rnacentral:rRNA from 1 species